CGGUAAUACGUAGGUGGCAGCGUGUCCGGAUUUAUUGGGCGUAAAGCGAGCGCAGGCGGUUUUUUAGGUCUGAUGUGAAAGCUUCGGCUUAACCGGAGAAGGGCAUCGGAAACCGGGAGACUUGAGUGCAGAAGAGGACAGUGGAACUCCAUGUGUAGCGGUGAAAUGCGUAGAUAUAUGGAAGAACACCAGUGGCGAAGGCGGCUGUCUGGUCUGUAACUGACGCUGAGGCUCGAAAGCAUGGGUAGCGAACAGGAUUAGAUACCCUGGUAGUCCAUGCCGUAAACGAUGAGUGCUAAGUGUUGGAGGGUUUCCGCCCUUCAGUGCUGCAGCUAACGCAUUAAGCACUCCGCCUGGGGAGUACGACCGCAAGGUUGAAACUCAAAGGAAUUGACGGGGGCCCGCACAAGCGGUGGAGCAUGUGGUUUAAUUCGAUGCUACGCGAAGAACCUUACCAGGUCUUGACAUCUUCUGCUAACCUAAGAGAUUAGGCGUUCCCUUCGGGGACGGAAUGACAGGUGGUGCAUGGUUGUCGUCAGCUCGUGUCGUGAGAUGUUGGGUUAAGUCCCGCAACGAGCGCAACCCUUAUUGUCAGUUGCCAGCAUUUAGUUGGGCACUCUGGCGAGACUGCCGGUGACAAACCGGAGGAAGGUGGGGAUGACGUCAAAUCAUCAUGCCCCUUAUGACCUGGGCUACACACGUGCUACAAUGGACGGUACAACGAGUCGCGAAACCGCGAGGUCAAGCUAAUCUCUUAAAGCCGUUCUCAGUUCGGAUUGCAGGCUGCAACUCGCCUGCAUGAAGUUGGAAUCGCUAGUAAUCGUGGAUCAGCAUGCCACGGUGAAUACGUUCCCGGGCCUUGUACACACCGCCCGUCACACCAUGAGAGUUUGUAACACCCAAAGCCGGUGAGGUAACC
rnacentral:rRNA from 2 species